GAUGGCGACCGGCGCACGGGUGAGUAACACGUAUCCAACCUGCCGAUGACUCGGGGAUAGCCUUUCGAAAGAAAGAUUAAUACCCGAUGGCAUAGUUCUUCCGCAUGGUAGAACUAUUAAAGAAUUUCGGUCAUCGAUGGGGAUGCGUUCCAUUAGGUUGUUGGCGGGGGUAACGGGCCCACCAAGCCUUCGAUGGAUAGGGGUUCUGAGAGGAAGGGUCCCCCACAUUGGAACUGAGACACGGUCCAAACUCCUACGGGAGGCAGCAUG
rnacentral:rRNA from 1 species